AAAACAGAGCACAAAUACACCUAGUUGUUUAUAUUACAAAGAAGAUCAAAAGCUUGUUAGACAUAGGUUAUAAUGGAAGCAUAAAAGGGAUGAGAGGAACUUUACAUAACAUAGAAAUCCUGCAACAAUUCGUAAAUUGCCCAAACACAGUGUUCAGACCGGAUAUGCGCUACCCGUUAAAGGGGGCGAAGAAAUCAGGCCUAAGUUUGAAAAAUGAAAUGGGUUAACUCGAUAGAGGAUGUUUCCAAAGGUCGAGAAAAUAAUGUAGGCCCUUUUACCAGGAGAAAGCUAAUUGUAUCUUUUACACUUUAUAGUGUGCACUGAGGGAAGUCAGGAAUAGUUUAAAUUAGGAUUGAAAAAAUUAAACUAGGUGAAAGGGGGUGUAGCAAGUAGAUUUAGGGCAGCUCACAGCCUGGCGUAAACGCAAGGUGCUGUCACACAGCUUAAGUUAUUUGUUAGAUUUAUUUUUAUGACAAAAUAAUAAGGAAACAUUGAAAACAUACAACCCGUUGAGGAGACAGAUAGGGUUGGGGAAUUGAAGGGUUUUGUUUGUUUAGCAUAAUCACUUUUGUUAUAUUUUAGCUUUAACAGGGAACAUGCCUCUCUGGAGCUUCUCUCCUGAUGCUACCCUGCCAAAGACCCUUAUCCCUAGAGACUAUGUCAGCUCCCAAACAGACAACAACAAACCAAAUCUAGCAAUAAACAACUUAAACAUCAAUAGUAACAAAGCAAGAACAAUACAGAAUCCACAUCUGAACCGAAGAAUAAAACAGUGAAAUGUGGAUUAUUAAAUAUUAGGUCUCUCACCCCCGGAAGAUGAUUGAAUAAAGAAAGACAGGUACUUAUGUAUGUCAGCAUAAGGUGGAGUCCAACAGAAGCAAGGCACCCUACAUGCGCACAGCAUGCAGCAGGGGUUGCCAAAAUAAUGUAGAAAACAGCACAUGUAGUGAGAGAACACCCACUAAAAGUUCUGAUUACACAUAAGACUGAGUAAAGUUUUAGAUGCUCCAAAUCUGACAUUUACACAUGAAGGAAUCAAUAUGGC
ensembl:lncRNA